rnacentral:lncRNA from 10 species
GAAGACUAAAGCUCCCAGAUUAGAUGGCUGACCUGCUGAAAAUACACACGUUAAGAUGCUGUGCAGAUGUCUGCUUGUUACCUUUCCUCAAGGAUAGAAGAAUCACUAUAAUCCUUACUAUCUCUAAGAAAAAGUGAAAAAGACCCAACUGACUGUCUUUAGGGUGCUUCAAUGCUUUCAACACGGAUUAAUUUUUUGGUUGGGCUAUCAUGCAGCAUUGUCAAUCAAACCCUCCUAGAAUUGUCGUGUGACAUCAGCUCUCAGAACAGCUGCAGUCAUGAGUGCUGAAGGUUAGCUACAAAAGAAAUGCAGAUCACUUUCCUGACCUUCAUAAUGUCUGAAGCCUUUAACUUUCUGUGAAGGACUGAGAAUAAAAAUUAUUUUGCAGAUGGGGCUACCAGAGGAUAUUUGUCAUGGGCUUAAGAUUAUUUCAUGAAGAUUCACACUGAAACACAGCUCUUCCUGGGUCAUGAGCCUGCUGGUCUUCAGAUUGGAACUACACUAUCAGCUUUCCUGUGUCUCCAGCUUGCUGACUGUGAAUCUUUGGACUUGGGACUUGUCAGCCUCCAUAAUUUAUUGAGCCAAUUUGGUAUAAUAAAUCUCUCUCUCCCUCUCUCUCUGUAGGUAUAUAUUAUUUGUUCUGUUUCUCUGUAGAACUCUAGUAUAUCCCUUUCCCAGGGUUUGUUGUUGUGGCUAUUUGUUUGUUUAAUGACUUUCUUGAAGUAAUUCAUACAGUUGUACUCUUUGUUGUGUGCUGCCCAUGUAGUCUCUACUUGGUUAGUUUAGUGGUCAGCUAAUGAUUGAACAGACAUUUGCUUAAAUUCCAGGACCAAUAAAUCUCCCUCCCACACUUUGCUGAGAGGCUGUGUGUGUGUGUGUGUGUGUGUGUGUGUGUGUGUGUAUGUGUUGGGACACACCUUCAAUUCUAGGGAAGUUCACAACUCUGCCUUAGUCUUCACUUCUUGCUUGUACAGAACUAACUCUCAGCUAGAGUUGAGAGAUUAGGGCCUCUUCAGGUCUUUCCUGAUCAUACACACAGUCCUGCAAAUGCACAUGGCUAUCUAGAUUCCCAGGAGUAUGUCAAAACUUUUCAAAAUCUCCUACAGACCUCUAAUGACCCACACUUACCAUUUAAUUAUUUUGGUUAGCCUCUUGUUUGCCCCAGCUUGGAGUACUGCUUCAUGCAGCUGCAAUAAUAAACAAUUGCCACUGACUGUUUUCAACAAAUGGUUUGGGUAUUGAGCUUUUCUCAUGGAGUGAACUCUGAGUCAGGUCAAAUAAAGAAAAUCUUUCUAAUUUUUUUUAAGGGAGCUGACAGAUCAAACAGUGGUAAUUCUCUCCGUGUAAGGCUUUUGGAGGAGAUCCAAACCCAGCCCUGUUCAGUGGCUGCCAGGAUUUUGGUUUUCACAGCCACCAUGACUGUGAGGCUCCCAGAUUUCAAAGCUACCACAUAGUUGGAGAGAGGAAAACAGGAAUGGAGCAAGUUAAAACACCACAAAAUGUACUAUUCUUAUCAAAGUUUAGCCCUUUUUUUUGAAUAAAUGCUUCUCUAAUUGUUGCAAGUCUUUGGUUAAUUUCCAAAGUUCUGAAAAGGUUAAUUUUGGCCAUUUGGGGCCAGUUUUUAAAUUGCUUUUAUAUACAACAGAUUUUGUCAGGUUCUUACUCUGCCAGUUUAGAAGUGCUUCCUCUAUUCUGCAAGUUUUACACGUUCAAAACUUUUGUCUGUCAUCUUUACACUUGCUGGAAAUAAAAGUUUGGCU